rnacentral:rRNA from 1 species
GAUGAACGCUAGCUACAGGCUUAACACAUGCAAGUCGAGGUGCAGCAUGUUGGAUGCUUGCAACCAAUGAUGGCGACCGGCGCACGGGUGCGUAACGCGUAUCGAACCUGCCCUAUACUCAGGGAUAGCCUUUCGAAAGUAAGAUUAAUACCUGAUGUUGUUAUUUAUUCGCAUGUUUGAAUAACGAUAGAUUUAUUGGUAUAGGAUGGCGAUGCGUGGCAUUAGGUAGUAGGCGGGGUAACGGCCCACCUAGCCGACGAUGCCUAGGGGUUCUGAGAGGAAGGUCCCCCACACUGGAACUGAGACACGGUCCAGACUCCUACGGGAGGCAGCAGUGAGGAAUAUUGGUCAAUGGACGAGAGUCUGAACCAGCCAAGUAGCGUGCAGGACGACGGCCCUCUGGGUUGUAAACUGCUUUUAGUUGGGAAUAAAAAGAGGGACGUGUCCCUUAUUGUAUGUACCAUCAGAAAAAGGACCGGCUAAUUCCGUGCCAGCAGCCGCAGUAAAAC